rnacentral:lncRNA from 1 species
CUGUUCGUAGCAAACUUAAAUUUGCAAACACAGAAGGUUGGAAGUAUGUGUGUGUGUAUGAGACAGAGUGAGGAUGAGAGCUUAUCAUCACUGGAGUCCUGAGCUCCAUGCUUUCAGGGGAAAAAAAAAUAAAAGCCAUUAUAUUGGACCCUGCAGCAGUUUCAUGGCAAAAUGGGGAUUUCCUGGUGUUGCAGCAAAGGGCAAUGGAAAGAAAGGGGCUCCUUCAGAGGUAUGAUUUAGAGUGUCUAAAGUUAAGCUCCUGCCCUAAAUCACCCCCCAAAACUCCCUAUCAUGGGCGUACCUCUCCAUUGAAGCCCAAUGCAAGUUGUAGAUUGUUGUUUUCUUUUUGAGGCAUUAAUAACAAGGCAUAGUGACGACAUACAACCUCUGUAUAAGCAGUUAAGUGUUUGCAUUUUUAAUUUCCUGUAUUUCUCUUGUAUUUUUCACUGGGUUAUUUGGAGAACUGAUUGAUACAUAUAAAUCUGGAUUGACUCAGCAUGAAAAGCAAAUCAAAUUCUGUAAUAUUUAACUUUCAGAAAGACUGAGCAGCCCCGUGGAUUUUCAAAAAUCAUUAAUAUGCAGG